GGGUUGUGAGGUUAAGCGACUAAGCGUACACGGUGGAUGCCCUGGCAGUCAGAGGCGAUGAAGGGCGUGCUAAUCUGCGAUAAGCGCCGGUAAGGUGAUAUGAACCGUUAUAACCGGCGAUACCCGAAUGGGGAAACCCAGUGUGACUCGUCACACUAUCAUUAACUGAAUCCAUAGGUUAAUGAGGCGAACCGGGGGAACUGAAACAUCUAAGUACCCCGAGGAAAAGAAAUCAACCGAGAUUCCCCCAGUAGCGGCGAGCGAACGGGGAGGAGCCCAGAGCCUGAAUCAGCAUGUGUGUUAGUGGAAGCGUCUGGAAAGGCGCGCGAUACAGGGUGACAGCCCCGUACACAAAAGCGCAUGUGCUGUGAGCUCGAUGAGUAGGGCGGGACACGUGGUAUCCUGUCUGAAUAUGGGGGGACCAUCCUCCAAGGCUAAAUACUCCUGACUGACCGAUAGUGAACCAGUACCGUGAGGGAAAGGCGAAAAGAACCCCGGCGAGGGGAGUGAAAAAGAACCUGAAACCGUGUACGUACAAGCAGUGGGAGCCCCACCACCAAAGCAUUCUCUGGUGUUGAAGGCCCUGCAAAGCAGCAUCGCGGUGGCGGAGCGUCGUUUGCGACGCCCAACACACAAAACAAGCGGUGAAUGCUUUGGGGUGGGGUGACUGCGUACCUUUUGUAUAAUGGGUCAGCGACUUAUAUUCUGUAGCAAGGUUAACCGAAUAGGGGAGCCGGAGGGAAACCGAGUCUUAAUUGGGCGUUAAGUUGCAGGGUAUAGACCCGAAACCCGGUGAUCUAGCCAUGGGCAGGUUGAAGGUUGGGUAACACUAACUGGAGGACCGAACCGACUAAUGUUGAAAAAUUAGCGGAUGACCUGUGGCUGGGGGUGAAAGGCCAAUCAAACCGGGAGAUAGCUGGUUCUCCCCGAAAGCUAUUUAGGUAGCGCCUCGUGAAUUCAUCUCCGGGGGUAGAGCACUGUUUCGGCUAGGGGGCCAUCCCGGCUUACCAACCCGAUGCAAACUGCGAAUACCGGAGAAUGUUAUCACGGGAGACACACGGCGGGUGCUAACGUCCGUCGUGAAGAGGGAAACAACCCAGACCGCCAGCUAAGGUCCCAAAGUCAUGGUUAAGUGGGAAACGAUGUGGGAAGGCCCAGACAGCCAGGAUGUUGGCUUAGAAGCAGCCAUCAUUUAAAGAAAGCGUAAUAGCUCACUGGUCGAGUCGGCCUGCGCGGAAGAUGUAACGGGGCUAAACCAUGCACCGAAGCUGCGGCAGCGACGCUGAUGCGUUGUUGGGUAGGGGAGCGUUCUGUAAGCCUGUGAAGGUGUGUCGUGAGGCAUGCUGGAGGUAUCAGAAGUGCGAAUGCUGACAUAAGUAACGAUAAAGCGGGUGAAAAGCCCGCUCGCCGGAAGACCAAGGGUUCCUGUCCAACGUUAAUCGGGGCAGGGUGAGUCGACCCCUAAGGCGAGGCCGAAAGGCGUAGUCGAUGGGAAACGGGUUAAUAUUCCCGUACUUGGUGUUACUGCGAAGGGGGGACGGAGAAGGCUAUGUUGGCCGGGCGACGGUUGUCCCGGUUUAAGCGUGUAGGUGUGUGUUCCAGGUAAAUCCGGUUCACUUUAACACUGAGGCGUGACGACGAGGCACUACGGUGCUGAAGCAACAAAUGCCCUGCUUCCAGGAAAAGCCUCUAAGCAUCAGGUAACACGAAAUCGUACCCCAAACCGACACAGGUGGUCAGGUAGAGAAUACCAAGGCGCUUGAGAGAACUCGGGUGAAGGAACUAGGCAAAAUGGUGCCGUAACUUCGGGAGAAGGCACGCUGACACGUAGGUGAAGUGAUUUACUCAUGGAGCUGAAGUCAGUCGAAGAUACCAGCUGGCUGCAACUGUUUAUUAAAAACACAGCACUGUGCAAACACGAAAGUGGACGUAUACGGUGUGACGCCUGCCCGGUGCCGGAAGGUUAAUUGAUGGGGUCAGCGUAAGCGAAGCUCCUGAUCGAAGCCCCGGUAAACGGCGGCCGUAACUAUAACGGUCCUAAGGUAGCGAAAUUCCUUGUCGGGUAAGUUCCGACCUGCACGAAUGGCGUAAUGAUGGCCAGGCUGUCUCCACCCGAGACUCAGUGAAAUUGAACUCGCUGUGAAGAUGCAGUGUACCCGCGGCAAGACGGAAAGACCCCGUGAACCUUUACUAUAGCUUGACACUGAACAUUGAGCCUUGAUGUGUAGGAUAGGUGGGAGGCUUUGAAGUGUGGACGCCAGUCUGCAUGGAGCCGACCUUGAAAUACCACCCUUUAAUGUUUGAUGUUCUAACGUGGACCCGUAAUCCGGGUUGCGGACAGUGUCUGGUGGGUAGUUUGACUGGGGCGGUCUCCUCCUAAAGAGUAACGGAGGAGCACGAAGGUUGGCUAAUCCUGGUCGGACAUCAGGAGGUUAGUGCAAUGGCAUAAGCCAGCUUGACUGCGAGCGUGACGGCGCGAGCAGGUGCGAAAGCAGGUCAUAGUGAUCCGGUGGUUCUGAAUGGAAGGGCCAUCGCUCAACGGAUAAAAGGUACUCCGGGGAUAACAGGCUGAUACCGCCCAAGAGUUCAUAUCGACGGCGGUGUUUGGCACCUCGAUGUCGGCUCAUCACAUCCUGGGGCUGAAGUAGGUCCCAAGGGUAUGGCUGUUCGCCAUUUAAAGUGGUACGCGAGCUGGGUUUAGAACGUCGUGAGACAGUUCGGUCCCUAUCUGCCGUGGGCGCUGGAGAACUGAGGGGGGCUGCUCCUAGUACGAGAGGACCGGAGUGGACGCAUCACUGGUGUUCGGGUUGUCAUGCCAAUGGCACUGCCCGGUAGCUAAAUGCGGAAGAGAUAAGUGCUGAAAGCAUCUAAGCACGAAACUUGCCCCGAGAUGAGUUCUCCCUGAGACUUAGAGUCUCCUGAAGGAACGUUGAAGACGACGACGUUGAUAGGCCGGGUGUGUAAGCGCAGCGAUGCGUUGAGCUAACCGGUACUAAUGAACCGUGAGGCUUAACCUUACAACGCCGAAG
rnacentral:rRNA from 2 species